GGUUAAGUUGUUAAGGGCGCACGGUGGAUGCCUUGGCACUAGGAGCCGAUGAAGGACGGUACUAACACCGAUAUGCUUCGGGGAGCUGUAAGUAAGCUUUGAUCCGGAGAUUUCCGAAUGGGGGAACCCACUGCUCGUAAUGGAGCAGUAUUAUUACCUGAAUCAAUAGGGUAAUAAAGGUAGACCCGGGGAACUGAAACAUCUAAGUACCCGGAGGAAGAGAAAGCAAACGCGAUUUCCUGAGUAGCGGCGAGCGAAACGGAAUUAGCCCAAACCAAGAGGCUUGCCUCUUGGGGUUGUAGGACACUCUAUACGGAGUUACAAAGGAACGGAGUAAAUGAAGAGGUCUGGAAAGGCCCGUCAAAGAAGGUAACAACCCUGUAGUUGAAACUUCGUUCCCUCCAGAGUGGAUCCUGAGUACGGCGGGACACGUGAAAUCCCGUCGGAAGCAGGGAGGACCAUCUCCCAAGGCUAAAUACUCCCUAGUGACCGAUAGUGAACCAGUACCGUGAGGGAAAGGUGAAAAGCACCCCGGAAGGGGAGUGAAAGAGAUCCUGAAACCGUGUGCCUACAAGUAGUCAAAGCCCGUUAAUGGGUAAUGGCGUGCCUUUUGUAGAAUGAACCGGCGAGUUACGAUCCCGUGCAAGGUUAAGUUGAAGAGACGGAGCCGCAGCGAAAGCGAGUCUGAAUAGGGCGAAAGAGUACGUGGUCGUAGACCCGAAACCAGGUGAUCUACCCAUGUCCAGGGUGAAGUUCAGGUAACACUGAAUGGAGGCCCGAACCCACGCACGUUGAAAAGUGCGGGGAUGAGGUGUGGGUAGCGGAGAAAUUCCAAUCGAACUUGGAGAUAGCUGGUUCUCUCCGAAAUAGCUUUAGGGCUAGCCUUGAAAUGAGAGUCUUGGAGGUAGAGCACUGAUUGGACUAGGGGCCCCCAUCGGGUUACCGAAUUCAGUCAAACUCCGAAUGCCAAAGACUUAUAUUCAGGAGUCAGACUGCGAGUGAUAAGAUCCGUAGUCAAGAGGGAAACAGCCCAGACCACCAGCUAAGGUCCCAAAGUAUACGUUAAGUGGAAAAGGAUGUGGAGUUGCUUAGACAACCAGGAUGUUGGCUUAGAAGCAGCCACCAUUUAAAGAGUGCGUAAUAGCUCACUGGUCGAGUGACUCUGCGCCGAAAAUGUACCGGGGCUAAACGUAUCACCGAAGCUGUGGAUUGUUCUUUCAGAACAAUGGUAGGAGAGCGUUCUAAGGGCUGUGAAGCUAGACCGUAAGGACUAGUGGAGCGCUUAGAAGUGAGAAUGCCGGUAUGAGUAGCGAAAGAUGGGUGAGAAUCCCAUCCACCGAAUGCCUAAGGUUUCCUGAGGAAGGCUCGUCCGCUCAGGGUUAGUCGGGACCUAAGCCGAGGCCGAAAGGCGUAGGCGAUGGACAACAGGUUGAUAUUCCUGUACCACCUCCUCACCAUUUGAGCAAUGGGGGGACGCAGAAGGAUAGGGUAAGCGCGCUGUUGGAUUAGCGCGUCCAAGCAGUUAGGCUGACAACGAGGCAAAUCCCGUUGUUAUCUAAGGCUGAGCUGUGAUGGCGAGGGAACUAUAGUACCGAAGUUCCUGAUUCCACACUGCCAAGAAAAGCCUCUAGCGAGGUGAGAGGUGCCCGUACCGCAAACCGACACAGGUAGGCGAGGAGAGAAUCCUAAGGUGAGCGAGAGAACUCUCGUUAAGGAACUCGGCAAAAUGACCCCGUAACUUCGGGAGAAGGGGUGCUUUUUCAAGGUUUAUCCUUGCGAAAAGCCGCAGUGAAUAGGCCCAGGCGACUGUUUAGCAAAAACACAGGUCUCUGCGAAGCCGCAAGGCGAAGUAUAGGGGCUGACGCCUGCCCGGUGCUGGAAGGUUAAGAGGAGAGGUUAGCGCAAGCGAAGCUUUGAAUUGAAGCCCCAGUAAACGGCGGCCGUAACUAUAACGGUCCUAAGGUAGCGAAAUUCCUUGUCGGGUAAGUUCCGACCCGCACGAAAGGCGUAACGAUCUGGGCACUGUCUCAACGAGAGACUCGGUGAAAUUAUAGUACCUGUGAAGAUGCAGGUUACCCGCGACAGGACGGAAAGACCCCGUGGAGCUUUACUGUAGCCUGAUAUUGAAUUUUGGUACAGCUUGUACAGGAUAGGUAGGAGCCUU
rnacentral:rRNA from 1 species